rnacentral:rRNA from 1 species
GAAUUACUGGGCGUAAGCGUACGCAGGCGGUUUGUUAAGCGAGAUGUGAAAGCCCCGGGCUCAACCUGGGAACUGCAUUUCGAACUGGCAAACUAGAGUGUGAUAGAGGGUGGUGGAAUUUCAGGUGUAGCGGUGAAAUGCGUAGAGAUCUGAAGGAAUACCGAUGGCGAAGGCAGCCACCUGGGUCAACACUGACGCUCAUGUACGAAAGCGUGGGGAGCAAACGGGAUUAGAUACCCCGGUAGUCCACGCCGUAAACGAUGUCUACUAGAAGCUCGGAACCUCGGUUCUGGUUUUCAAAGCUAACGCAUUAAGUAGACCGCCUGGGGAGUACGGCCGCAAGGUUAAAACUCAAAUGAAUUGACGGG